rnacentral:tRNA from 1 species
UCGGGUGUAGCGCAGCGGUAGCGCAGUUGACUGUUAAUCAAUUGGUCGCAAGUUCGAAUCUUGCCACCCGAGCCA